rnacentral:rRNA from 1 species
UUCCAAUCGAACCCGGAGAUAGCUGGUUCUCCUCGAAAUAGCUUUAGGGCUAGCCCAUGACAAGUCUGCCGCAGGUAGAGCACUGAAUUUCCUAGGGGGCGUCAAAGCCUACCGAAGAAUAUCAAACUCCGAAUGGCGGCCAGAUGGUGUCAUGGAGUCAGACUGCACGAGAUAAGUUGGGUGGUCAAAAGGGAAAGAGCCCAGACCCACAGCUAAGGUCCCAAAGUGCGUGUUAAGUGGAAAAGGAUGUGGGAUUUCGAAGACAACUAGGAUGUUGGCUCAGAAGCAGCCACACAUUAAAAGAGUGCGUAAUAGCUCACUAGUCGAGAGGUCCUGCGCCGAAAAUGUCCGGGGCUGAAACACGACACCGAAGCUUGGGAAUCCUACGGGAUUGGUAGAGGAGCAUUGAAGACGGGACGAAGCGUAACCGUAAGGAUACGUGGACUGUCUUGAAGAGAGAAUGCCGGAAUGAGUAGCGAGAAUGAAGUGAGAAUCUUCAUGGCCGAAUAUCUAAGGUUUCCAGGGUAAAGCUGAUCUGCCCUGGGUAAGUCGGGACCUAAGGCGAGGUCGAAAGACGUAGCCGAUGGACAACAGGUUGAAAUUCCUGUACUGCAUUAAAUCAGAACUGUGGGGACACAGAAGGAAGGCAUGAGCCGGAAAAGGAAAAUCCGGUGCAAGCAUGGGAGGGGUAUGACAGGCAAAUCCGUCAUGCAACCCGAGAAUGUGACGCGGAGCGAACAAAAGUAGCGAAGCAUGCUUACCGGCUGUCGAGAAAAGCCGCUAUUGUGUUUAAUGUACCCGUACCGUAAACCGACACAGGUGGAUGAGGAGAGAAUCCUAAGGCCGGCGGGAGAAGCAUUGUUAAGGAACUCGGCAAAAUGACCCCGUAACUUCGGGAGAAGGGGUGCUCUUAGAAAUAAGAGCCGCAGAGAAUUGGCCCAAGCAACUGUUUAGCAAAAACACAGGUCUAUGCAAAACCGCAAGGUGAAGUAUAUGGGCUGACGCCUGCCCGGUGCUGGAAGGUUAAGGGGAGGGCUUAGCGCAUUAGCGCGAAGGUCUGAACUUAAGCCCCAGUAAACGGCGGCCGUAACUAUAACGGUCCUAAGGUAGCGAAAUUCCUUGUCGGGUAAGUUCCGACCCGCACGAAAGGCGUAAUGAUUUGGGCACUGUCUCAACAACACACCCGGUGAAAUUGAAAUACCAGUGAAGAUGCUGGUUACCUGCGCCAGGACGGAAAGACCCCAUGGAGCUUUACUCCAGCUUGAUACUGGGAUUCGGUACUGCAUGUACAGGAUAGGUGGGAGACUGAGAAUUAAGGACGCCAGUCCUUAAGGAGUCACUGUUGGGAUACCACCCUUGCAGUAUUGGAUUUCUAACCAACAGCCAUGAUCUGGUUGGGGGACAAUGUCAGGUGGGGAGUUUGACUGGGGCGGUCGCCUCCGAAAGGGUAUCGGAGGCGCUCAAAGGUCUUCUCAGAAUGGACGGAAACCAUUCGCAGAGUGCAAAGGCAGAAGAAGGCUUGACUGUGACACCGACGGGUGGAGCAGGUACGAAAGUAGGACUUAGUGAUCCGGUGGUAUAACGUGGGAUUGCCAUCGCUCAACGGAUAAAAGCUACCCUGGGGAUAACAGGCUUAUC